GAAACCAGGUGAUCUAGCCAUGGGCAGGUUGAAGGUUGAGUAACAUCAACUGGAGGACCGAACCGACUAAUGUUGAAAAAUUAGCGGAUGACUUGUGGCUAGGGGUGAAAGGCCAAUCAAACCUGGAGAUAGCUGGUUCUCCCCGAAAGCUAUUUAGGUAGCGCCUCGGACGAAUACUACUGGGGGUAGAGCACUGUUAAGGCUAGGGGGUCAUCCCGACUUACCAACCCUUUGCAAACUCCGAAUACCAGUAAGUACUAUCCGGGAGACACACGGCGGGUGCUAACGUCCGUCGUGGAGAGGGAAACAACCCAGACCGCCAGCUAAGGUCCCAAAUUACUACUAAGUGGGAAACGAUGUGGGAAGGCUCAGACAGCCAGGAUGUUGGCUUAGAAGCAGCCAUCAUUUAAAGAAAGCGUAAUAGCUCACUGGUCGAGUCGGCCUGCGCGGAAGAUGUAACGGGGCUAAGUA
rnacentral:rRNA from 1 species